GAGAGUAACACCCCCAAAAAUGUUUGGAAAAAUUCAGAAGGUCUAAUUAAAAUCCAUCCUGUUGCAGAAGAGGUCAAAUAAAACCCUUUAGACAAAAGACUUGGUCUAAUCUUUAUACAUGAUAAUAGUCACCGUUAAGAUACACAUUUGUAUACUACGAGAACAACACAGAAGAUAGAGAUACUGAAACUUUUUACUGGUUUACCUAACCUGCAGGUUGGGGAAGAGCUGGUCAUGGGUUUGUCUUCAGGGAAGCCCGGCAUACAGAGUUUGAACCACCCUGUCACAGGGGGCUGGCCAAGCAUAGAAACACUUUCUAGUGUUUCUCUUUGAGACGAAUUCAAUAUGGCCGCCAAACAUGGUAGUGUUUUAUAUACACCGACAACUUUCUAAGGGGUACAUCCUAGGUUGUGUCCCAUUCUACCGUCGAGCAGAAGUAAAGUGAUGUUUGCCCAUCAAUGUGAGCACUGGUAAGAGUUUUGGAGGGUGGCUGUUGUUAGCUUGAUCUGGCUCUAGCUCCCUCUGCCUUGCUCAGUGAAGACAAACCCUCUGAACAAAAGCCUUUCCAUGCGCAACUCGUAAAGAUUCAUUAUUGCUUACAGGAACAAAGCAUUUUGUGUACAUGGACACACAGUGCAGAGUCAUGGAGAGCAAUGGAGUGGCAUAGGAAAAGGAAGGGGAGAGAGGGGAACAGACCUGAACAGCGUGGUCUGUUUCUGUCAGCUGGGGAAGGGUCAUACUGGCAUGGGGGUUAAAAGGGAAGGGUCAUACUGGCAUGGGGGGUAAAAGGGAAGGGUCAUACUGGCAUGGAGGUUAAAAGGGAAGGGUCAUACUGGCAUGAUGGGGUAAAAGGGAAGGGUCAUACUGGCAUGGGGGUUAAAAGGGAAGGGUCAUACUGGCAUGGGGGGUAAAAGGGAAGGGUCAUAUAGACAUGGGGGGGUAGAAGGGAAGGGUCAUACUGGCAUGGAGGGUAAAAGGGAAGGGUCAUACUGGCAUGGGGGUAAAAGGGAAGGGUCAUACUGGCAUGAUGGGGUAAAAGGGAAGGGUCAUACUGGCAUGGGGGGUAGAAGGGAAGGGUCAUACUGGCAUGGGGGGUAAAAGGGAAGGGUCAUACUGGCAUGAUGGGGUAAAAGGGAAGGGUCAUACUGGCAUGGAGGUUAAAAGGGAAGGGUCAUACUGGCAUGGGGGGUAAAAGGGAAGGGUCAUACUGGCAUGGGGGGUAGAAGGGAAGGGUCAUACUGGCAUGGGGGGUAAAAGGGAAGGGUCAUACUGGCAUGGGGGGGUAGAAGGGAAGGGUCAUACUGGCAUGGGGGGUAAAAGGGAAGGGUCAUACUGGCAUGGAGGUUAAAAGGGAAGGGUCAUACUGGCAUGGGGGGUAAA
rnacentral:lncRNA from 1 species